AAGUCGUAACAAGGUCUCCGUUGGUGAACCAGCGGAGGGAUCAUUGCUGGAACGCGCCCCGGCGCACCCAGAAACCCUUUGUGAACUCAUACCUACUGUUGCCUCGGCGCAGGCCGGCCUCUGUCAGGAGAGGCCCCCUGGGAACAGGGAGCAGCCCGCCGGCGGCCAACCAAACUCUUGUUUCUGUGGUGAAUCUCUGAGUAUAAAAACAUAAAAUGAAUCAAAACUUUCAACAACGGAUCUCUUGGUUCUG
rnacentral:misc_RNA from 1 species